rnacentral:rRNA from 1 species
UACGUAGGGUGCAAGCGUUGUCCGGAAUUAUUGGGCGUAAAGAGCUCGUAGGCGGCUUGUCACGUCGACUGUGAAAACCCGGGGCGUCAACUCCGGGCCUGCAGUCGAUACGGGCUGGCUUGAGUGCGGUAGGGGGAGACUUGGAAUUCCUGGUGUAGCGGUGAAAUGCGCAGAUAUCAGGAGGAACACCGGUGGCGGAAAGGCGGGGUCUCUGGGCCGUAACUGCGCUGAGGAGCGAAAAGCGUGGGGGAGCGAAACAGGAUAGAAACCCCCUGUAG